UAUAAGGGUGCUUGGCUGGAUGUGUUCCGGAGCAUGUAUCAUGUAAGGCCUGCCAGGGUAGCAUCCCGAGGUCAAUUCAACUUGUCUGAGUUACGUCCUCAGGGCAAGUGUCAUGGGAGAAAGCGAUACGUCGGUGGCUAAAAGGUCCGGUAUCACAGCGAGUAACUAAACAGAGUGUGACAAUGGCGCGCUAAUAAAAUGAAAU
rnacentral:lncRNA from 1 species